rnacentral:lncRNA from 1 species
CAACCUCUUGCUAUUUUCUGUAUCCCUUUGUGAAGUGUCUUCCAGGGUGAGGUCUGUCUUGAAGAACUCAUCCCCACAGAAGCAAGAGGGAGCCUGUGCCAGUAACUCCUGUGGGAGGCCUAGCUGGGACACCAUCAUUGGCACAACCCCUGUUCUCAGGCAGGUUUUCAGCCCAUUUCAAGGACUAGCUCAGCUCCUGCCUCUAGAGCUUUGGUCUGCUUGGAAACUCAGAUAUCAAUAAGGCAGUUAAGUUUAUAUAUUGAAUCAUAUGAAGUGUGGAUUAUGCAGAACAGCCCACCUCUACUUUUGAGUGAAAGGAGGUCAACAUUUUACAGGACUUUACAGGACAGAACCCUAAGUACUGCAAGAGUUCCUGACACCAGUGAAUGA